UACGGAGGGUGCAAGCGUUAUCCGGAUUCACUGGGUUUAAAGGGUGCGUAGGCGGGUUGGUAAGUCCGUGGUGAAAUCCCCAGCUUAACUUGGGAACUGCCGUGGAUACUAUCAAUCUUGAAUAUCGUGGAGGUAAGCGGAAUAUGUCAUGUAGCGGUGAAAUGCUUAGAUAUGACAUAGAACACCAAUUGCGAAGGCAGCUCACUACACAAUCAUUGACGCUGAGGCACGAAAAGCGUGGGGGAUCAAACAGG
rnacentral:rRNA from 1 species